rnacentral:rRNA from 1 species
GGAUGAAGGGCUUCGGCUUGUAAACUCCUGUCACCGACGAACAAGGCAUCCGGUUGAACAUUCCUGGAUGAUUGAUGGUAGUCGGAGAGGAAGGGGCGGCUAACUCUGUGCCAGCAGCCGCGGUGAUACAGAGGCCCCGAGCGUUGUUCGGAUUUACUGGGCGUAAAGGGUGUGUAGGGGGUCGGGUAAGUUUGACGUGAAAGCCCGCUGCUUAACAGCGGAACGGCGUCGAAUACUGCCCGGCUGGAGGUUCGGAGAUGAGAGCGGAAUUCUCGGUGUAGCGGUGAAAUGCGUAGAUAUCGAGAGGAACGCCGACGGCGAAAGCAGCUCUCAAGACGACACCUGACCCUGAGACACGAAGGCCAGGGGAGCAAACGGGAUUAGAUACCCCGGUAGUCCUGGCAGUAAACGGUGCUCAUUAGACGUGGGCGGAUUCGACCCCGACCGUGUCGAACCUAACGGAUUAAAUGAGCCGACUGGGAAGUACGGUCGCAAGAUUAAAACUCAAAGAAAUUGACGGGGGCCCGCACAAGCGGUGGAGUCUGUGGCUUAAUUCGAUGCAACGCGAAGAACCUUACUGGCCUUGACAUGCUGAGUUCCGGCGUGGAAACACGCUGGGCCGCAAGGGGCGAUCUGGCCAGGUGCUGCAU